UACGGAGGGGGCUAGCGUUGUUCGGAAUUACUGGGCGUAAAGCGCACGUAGGCGGCUUUGUAAGUUAGAGGUGAAAGCCUGGGGCUCAACUCCAGAACUGCCUUUAAGACUGCAUCGCUUGAAUCAUGGAGAGGCGGGUGGAAUUCCGAGUGUAGAGGUGAAAUGCGUAGAUAUUCGGAAGAACACCAGCGGCGAAGGCGGCCCGCUGGACAUGUAUUGACGCUGAGGUGCGAAAGCGUGGGGAGCAAACAGG
rnacentral:rRNA from 1 species